rnacentral:rRNA from 1 species
GACGAACGCUGGCGGCGUGCCUAAUACAUGCCAGUCGAGCGGAGAGGGCUGGUUCUUGUGCCAACUGGGUGAGCAGCGAACGGGUGAGUAACGCGUGGGCAAUCUGCCUGUGAGCGGGGGACAACAUGGGGAAACGGGUGCUAAUACCGCAUAAAAACUUUAAACACAAGGUGUAAGGUUGAAAGACGGCGUUUCAGCACUCACUGACGGUUUCGCGGCGUAUUAGUUAGUUAGUGGGGUAAAGGCGCACUAAGGCGAUGAUGCAUAGCCGCCCUGAGAGGGUGAGCGGCCACACUGGGACUGAGACACGGCCCAGACUCCUACGGGAGGCAGCAGUAGGGAAUCUUCGGCAAUGGACGAAAGUCUGACCGAGCAACGCCGCAUGAGUGAAGAAGGUCUUCGGGUCGUAAAACUCUGUUGUUAGGGAAGAAGGCGCGUGGGACUGGGACGGUGAUCAAGUGACGGUAACUAACCAGAAAGCGACGGCUAACUACGUG